UACGGGAGGCAGCAGUGGGGAAUAUUGCACAAUGGGCGCAAGCCUGAUGCAGCCAUGCCGCGUGUAUGAAGAAGGCCUUCGGGUUGUAAAGUACUUUCAGUCGUGAGGAAGGUGUUAAGGUUAAUAACCUUAGCAAUUGACGUUAGCGACAGAAGAAGCACCGGCUAACUCCGUGCCAGCAGCCGCGGUAAUACGGAGGGUGCGAGCGUUAAUCGGAAUUACUGGGCGUAAAGGGCACGCAGGCGGUUAAUUAAGUUGGAUGUGAAAUCCCCGGGCUUAACCUGGGAAUGGCAUUCAAGACUGGUUAGCUAGAGUCUUGUAGAGGGGGUAGAAUUCCAUGUGUAGCGGUGAAAUGCGUAGAGAUGUGGAGGAAUACCGGUGGGCGAAAGGCGGCCCCCUGGGACAAAGACUGACGCUCAUGUGCGAAAGCGUGGGGAGCAAACAGGGAUUAGAUACC
rnacentral:rRNA from 1 species